GGCGGGGCGAGUGAAGACUUGGGAGAGCGGCGGCGUCGGAGUAGCCGGGCCGUCGCGAUGGACCAUCACCAGCCCGCCAGCCGCUACCAAGUGCUUCACAAUGAAGAUGAUCCUUCGGAGUCCUCGACUGUUGAGCAACCAUCUACUUCUACAGAGACUGCACAGACUUCUCAAACAGCAGCUUCAUCUGAAGCAGAUACUUCUCCUCCACCUUAUUCUAGUAUAGCUGUAGAAGCAGCUGCAACCUCAGCAGAAACACAAAAUGAAUUUUACCCUGUACCACCUCCAUAUAGUGUAGCUACCUCUCUUCCUACUUACGAUGAAGCAGAGAAAGCUAAAGCUGCAGCAAUGGCAGCUGCAGCAGCUGAAGCAGCCCAAAGACACGGCCAAUUUAGGGAGUCUAGGAGUCUGUUUGAUGAAAUAUUCCUCAGUCCACCAGAGGAAGAAGAGUAUCCUCCACGGGAUGACUUCAGUGAUGCAGAUCAGCUUAGAGUGGGAAAUGAUGGCAUCUUCAUGUUGGCAUUUUUCAACGUAAAACAGUACCUAUUGCUCACAAAAAGCAAUGGCAUUUAUUUUCAACUGGAUUGGAUUUUGCUUAUCCUUCUGUAUAACGAACACCAUAGCAGGAAGAUAUGGUGCAAUCUGUGGAUUUGGCCUAUCGCUGAUCAAAUGGAUUCUUAUUGUACGAUUCUCAGAUUACUUUACUGGAUAUUUCAAUGGACAGUACUGGCUUUGGUGGAUAUUUCUUGUACUUGGCCUUCUCCUGUUCUUUCGAGGGUUUGUCAAUUACCUUAAAGUCAGAAACAUGUCUGAAAGUAUGGCAGCUGCUCAUAGGACAAGAUUUUUCUUCUUGUACUAGAGAUUGGCUACAGGAUCAGUACGAAGUAACCAGCAACUCACUAUUGGAAGUCUGAAAAAAAACAAAACAAAAAUCCUGAGACAGUAUUUGCGUAGAAAGGAUGUCUCUUUUUAUUUAAGGCAGCAAAAUCCACUUUAAUGAACACCUAAUGAUAAAUAUGGAAAAUCAUUACUUCUGCUGUGCUUUUCAGUUCUUGAUCAUGGAAUUAAUCUGUUAAGUGAAUAAAAUUGUAAUGUAAUAUGCUUUUAUCAUGUGCCAUUUUGUCAGAACUAUGCAGUAAGGUAAACUCUUAAAUGAUAAUUGAGAAAUAUAUUGCCUUUUAAGAAACAGCCUAAGUUAGCAACAUCUACAGUGCAGUGUUUCCUUCAUUUUGUAGCAAUAAUAUAUAUUUUAUUUUCUGAGCAAUAAAGUGGCCUCUUUAGAGUUAAGGAAAAAUGUAUAGUAAACACCUGCAUGAAAACAUCUGAUAUGUAUUUAAUAAAUUUAGAUCAUAUAGAACAAAAAUUAAUGUAGGAAUAGAGCUUUUCAAAUGCAGGGUGAUUAAAAGUCUAAUAGUAUCUGGGUGAAUUUUCUUCAAAAGGUGGAUGUGAGGAGGACAGUGUAGUAGUAUACGCUAUUGUUUUUUCAUCUUCUCGGGCUUGAAAUUCUGGUAUAGGAUGGAAUAUUAGGACCUUUAUGUAACACCCACUGUAGACAGUGAGAAUCUUUCUAUUGACUGGUCCGUUAGCUUAAAGCACCUCUAACCAUUACACAGUAGGAGCUACUCAGACUCAAAAAGAUCUUCAGGAGCUGGACAGACUUACCCAAUAUUUGUUCAAAGGUAUUAAAUAUUUAAUUGAAGUAAUAACUACAAAGCAAAUGUCAGCAAGCAUAAGUGAACUGAUGUAGAGAAGAUAUUUUCUGUCCAGUAAAAUGAUUUCUAAAUAAGCAAAUAGAUGUGAGCAAUUCUAAAUACUGUAAUAUGAAUAAAUAUUCCAAAAACAGAAGCCUUAAAAAUAUUUUGGAUGGAUCUUUUUCUACUGCCAGUUUCUCCUGUCGUCCUGAUUGGGAUAAAAUUGAUUUUGCUUUUUUUUUUUUUAAAAAAAAAAUGGUUUUCUGCUUUAACACUCACCUCAAUUAUCAGUGUUGCUUACAGUUAAUCAAUCUGAUGAACUGAAGUACGAUUCUUUCUUUAUCUCUAGACUGCAUCGACCAGACAUUCCCUUCUUAUACCAGUGUGAAAUUUCCAGAUGAUCUGUAACUCUCCAAUUUAAUAUGAUAGAAGACUACUAAAAACAGAAGACAAAUUAGUGAAGAAAAGAUGCAGCUUCAAACAGAAUGACAGGGUGGUUUAUGCUUAAGUCCCAGUUUUGUUCAUUCAAGUAAAUAUAUAAAAAAUUGCCUUUUUGUUUUUGCACAUUUGCUUAUGUGCUAAGUAAAAAGAUAGGACUGAAGUAAAAUCAUACCCUACAUACAGCCUGUUAGUAGAGAUUAAAUACAAUCAAAUUUGGUUAAUCUGUGCUUGUUGUAUCUUAAAGACUCAAGUGGUAUCUUGUCUUACAGCAUGUGUGUACCACUGACUAGCUGAUCUGAAGUUUAGUUCAGUAAAAUUUGAAAUAUACUGAUUCAGAUUAACCAGUUCAAACAUUUAGUUAGUGUUUAUGUAAUUUAGAUUAAUCUAAUGAUUGUGCAACAUAGAACACUUGUUAAAAGUUUACAAAAAUUUGCAAAUCCUCAUUAUUAUAAGUGUUUAAUGAUCAGCAUUUUAUCAAACUCAGACCAACUUAGUAGUUUGUUUAAAAAUGAAAUACCACUUUGAGCCCCCAUGUAAAUAUCUAUGCAUAAAUUACUGUUUAGAUCGUUUCUUAGGAGUGAUGUCAAAAUAUAUUUGUAACCAUAGUAUUUCUCAUUCACUAUAAAUUAUGUUUACUCAUAAUAUGAACAAUAUAUGUUUUGUUAAUUUGGACAUUAAAGUUAUAGUUUUAUUUUUGGUAUAAUUCUUUGAGGGUAGAAGGUAUUGAGUGUCCAUUUGAACAGCAGGUUAUUCUCCGCAUGAUUUGAUUAACUAAUUUGGACCCAAUCCUGAAAACCCUUGGUCAUGCAAAUGAAUCUUUCUUCUGUAGAUAGCUCCAUUGAAAGAGACAGAUCUACUUCCAGUCAGCAAGGAUUGCUAACAUUGGGUCUUAGGCCUUUUUAUGCAAAUAGGUCUCUGCUACAGCAACAGCUUUGCAGAUCAGGUCUCAGGUUAAUUACAUUAACCUUUGUAUUUACCAAAUGUUAUGUUUGCUAUUACCCUGAAAUCCACUUUAUUUGAUGAGUUUCUCAGAAUGGUGCUUACAAGUGUCUCACCAUGCUUAAUUUAGAAAAAACGACUUCAGUCUUUCAAAAAAAUUAGCUCUGACUUGAGUUAAAACUGUAAUACGUGUGUGUGUGUGUGGGGGGGGGGUGUUUUUUCCCCUUCAGUCUUUUAUUUUAAACUAAUAGCAAAAAAAAUAACCAAUGCACUCUUACUAGUAUUCACUUAACAGUAAUUGUAUUAUAUUUUUAAAGGUAUCAUCUCUUUACGGGUGCAUUCUCCUGUUCAUAAACAAACAUAAUUCCCUGCAAUAGAUGUAAGAUCUAUGCCCUGCCAGGAUAGGAGAAUAGACCUCUUAAUCCUUUACUACAACUGGAAUCUCAGUGACAACCAGUAAUCAACAUGUUUUGCUUCUUUGUGGGAGGGCGGAAUCCUCCUUUUCUUUUUUUUAAUUUGAACUUUUUUUAAUACUAACAUUAAAAAAAUGAGAUUUUUGUUGUCUUUAAACUAGUAAUGCUUUAUUCAAUUUGUAUUUACGCUGAAUGUUUUAAAAAUGCAUAUGUAAACAGGUCACAUAGUUUAUUGUUAUUAAUUUGCAUAGUUACUAAAAAAGGUAAACAAUUAUAAACUAUUACUUCUGGGAAACCUCCCUUUCCCGGCCUUUUGUGGAGAAAAGAAAAGAAAUAAAAUGAUUAUGUUUAA